rnacentral:rRNA from 1 species
UACGUAAGGGGCGAGCGUUAUCCGGAUUUAUUGGGCAUAAAGCGCGCGCAGGCGGUACCCCCAGUCAGAUGUUAAAUCAUACAGCCCAACUGUAUGCCGCAUUUGAUACUAGGGUACUAGAGAUCGGGAGAGGAAAGUGGAACUCAUAGUGUAGCGGUGAAAUGCGUAGAUAUUAUGAGGAACACCAGUGGCGAAGGCGGCUUUCUGGACCGAUUCUGACGCUGAGGCGCGAAAGCGUGGGGAGCAAACG